UGGCCCAGAUCGUUUACCGUGAAAAAAUUAGAGUGUUCAAAGCAGGCAGACCAUUUCUUCUGCCACCGAAUACAUUAGCAUGGGAUAAUGGAAUAGGACCCUGUCCUCCUAUUUUGCGUGUUGGUUUUCGAGGACCGGGUAAUGAUUAAUAGGGAUAGUUGGGGGCAUUAAUAUUUAAUUGUCAGAGGUGAAAUUCUUGGAUUUAUGAAAGAUUGACUUCUGCGAAAGCAUCUGCCAAGGAUGUUUUCAUUAAUCAAGAACGAAAGUUAGGGGAUCGAAGACGAUCAGAUACCGUCGUAGUCUUAACCAUAAACGAUGCCGACCAGCGAUUAGGAGACGUUGAAUACAAAACACCACCGUCGGGUCGGCCGUCCUUGGCCGUCGUGCGCGGCGACGCGCGCGGCGGCGAGGGCGGUGUCUGCCCGACGGCCCGGUGAAUGACUCCCCUAGCAGCUUGUGAGA
rnacentral:rRNA from 1 species